GGGAAACGGAAAGCCUCUGCCCCUUCCUAAACUCGCGUCCGACGACGGCGAAGGGCCGACGGCGACGACGGCUUCAGGGGCCGAUUCAGGUGAGUCUUUUCUUUUCUCUUUUUUGAUUUUUUAAUUACUUUAAAAUAGAUUUGCAAAGAAAAAAUAAAACAAAAUAAGAUAAAAAAAAUAAAUAAAAAACAAGAAGAAAUAGUGAGGAUUCAACCUUUUAAAAUUUCUAUAUCGCUUUUGAUUUCUGAUGUGGGUUUUUACAAAGAAAAAUCCCCCAAAAUACAGUGAUGAAGCCCCCCCUUUUACAUUGUUUUUCAAGGCUUAUAAAGCCGAAAAUCAACCCAUUCUCUGCCCCUUUUGCUGCUUCUAUUCCCCUUUUUUAUGUUGCUUGCAGGUACUUGACGAAGGCAGAGGCGUGGCUUGCCGUUUUGGUGCUAGGCGGUGGCUAGGGUGUCAGGUAAGCCUCGGGACGAGGCACAGAUGGUACGCCCGAGGGAGUAGCGCACAUGGGCCCCAAUGGGCCGUUUUAAAUUUUGGGCCUUGGGCUAUUGGGUAUUUGUUUUUGUAAUUGGGCCUCGAGUUAAUAUUUUUGGCACUAGGCCCGGGUAAAAUUGGGUCUGUACAGCUGCCCCUCUUUGCUUGUUGUCGUGUAACGAGAACAGAGCAAAGAUUAAGAAAGACCAAUUUUGCCCGGUCUCACCGAGUCUUGACUUCUUGGUGCUUCUCUUCUUCAAAUAACUUCGUUCCAGUCUACUGUGUCUUGUUGCUUCGAUCCACUCCUCUGUGUCUUGUUGCUUCGAUCCACUCCACUGCACUUCAGAGAGUUCUGACUUGUAGCUUCAAUAUUCUUUGUAGCAACUUCAGGGGGACGAUGUUUGUGUUUUUUCUGUCUGCUCCGCUACUGCUUAGGGAGAUAAGACUUGAUGCGAUCUGCUCCACUACUGCUUAGGGAGAUAGGACUCGUGGCUUAAAUCUGCUUCACUACUGCUUAGGAAGAUAAGAUUCGCCGUCUUCGAUCUGCUCCACUACUGCUUAGGGAGAUAGGAUCUAAUAUCUUUGACCUGCUCCACUACUGCUUAAGGAGAUAGGACUGGUGGCUUAAAUCUGCUUCACUUCUGCUUAGGAAGAUGAGAUUCGCCGUCUUCGAUCUGCUCUACUACUGCUUAAGGAGAUAGGAUCUAAUAUCUUUGACCUGCUCCACUACUGCUUAGGGAGACAAGAUCUAACAUCUUUGACCUGCUCCACUACUGCUUAGGGAGAUAGGACUGGUGGCUUAAAUCUGCUUCACUACUGCUUAGGAAGAUGAGAUUUGCCAUUUUCGAUCUGUUCCACUACUGCUUAGGGAGAUAAGAUCUACCAUUUUAAUCCGCUCCACUGCAACUUUAGGGAGAUAGGAUUGGUUUCUUCUGUCUGCUCUACUACUGCUUAGGGAGAUAAGACUUGGUGCGAUCUGCUCCACUACUGCUUAGGGAGAUAGGAUCUACCAUAUUUGACCUGCUCCACUACUGCUUAGGGAGAUAGGACUGGUGGCUUAAAUCUGCUGCACUACUGCUUAGGAAGAUGAGAUUUGCCAUUUUCGAUCUGCUCCACUACUGCUUAGGGAGAUAAGAUCUACCAUCUUCGACCUGCUCCACUGUAACCUCAGGGAGAUAAGAUCUGAAAUUCUUCGGUUGACUCCACUGUAACCUUAGGGAGAUAAGAUUUGUUGCGAUCUACUCUACUGUAACUUCAGAGAGAUGAGAUCCUUUAUUUUAAUCCGCUCCACUGUAACUUCAGGGAGAUAGGAUUACUAGCUCCAAUCUGCUCCACUGUAACCUCAGGGAGAUAAGAUCUGAAAUUCUUCAGUCCACUCCACUGUAACCUCAGGGAGAUAAGACUUGCAUAUUCAAACUGCCCCACUGUAACUUCAGGGAGAUAAGGUUUGUGGCUUCGAUCUGCUCCUCUGUAAUCUCAGGGAGAUAAGAUCUCUGGCUUCAAUCUGCUCCACUGUAACCUCAGGGAGAUAAGAAUUGAAAUUCUUCGGUCUACUCCACUGUAAUCUCAGGGAGAUAAGACCUAAAAUUCUUCGGUCUACUCCACUGUAACCUCAGGGAGAUAAGACUUGCAUAUUCAACCUGCCCUACUGUAACUUCAGGGAGAUAAGGUUCGUGGCUUCGAUCUGCUCCUCUAUAAUCUCAGGGAGAUAAGAUCUGAAAUUCUUCGGUCUACUCCACUGUAAUCUCAGGGAGAUAAGACUUGCAUAUUCAACCUGCCCCACUGUAACUUCAGGGAGAUAAGGUUUGUAGCUUCGAUCUGCUCUUCUGUAACUUCAGAGAGAUAUGAUCCUUUAUUUUAAUCCGCUCCACUAUAACUUCAGGGAGAUAGGAUAGUGUCUUCGAUCUGCUCCGCUGUAAUCUCAGGGAGAUAAGAUCUCUGGCUCUUUGAUCUGCUUCACUGUCGAUGCAGGAAGACAAGAUCUAUCAUAUUUGCUUAUCCGUUCUCUGGGGAACAUGACCUGCAUAAUGAACCUAAUUAUGCCUAAUGAUUAGGAUGGCAUGAUCAAAAUGAAUCAAAUGCUCCUAACUAGACAUGUGUGAAUGGUGUUUGCAUGAAUGCAAAAUUUUAUUUUUCCGAGAAUGAUCUCGCUUAGGUUGUCAUUACUCGAAGUUUAUUAAGGCUUUGUGACUGACGUGCUACAACACCUUCUCGCUUGACUGGUUUUUCUGAAGAAACAUUUGGCCAGGUUGCCCCCACUGUAAACCUCAAAGUUCAAUCUAUUGGGACGCCAAAAUUUGUACCAUCAUUCUCCCACUGCAAUUCAAGGGUAGAAAUAUGUGACUUUUCCUCAAUCUUCUCCUAUCACAAUUCAAGGAUAUAGGACGCGAAUCGUUCUAGUUCCUCACACCAUUCCCAAUGUGUCAUACUCAUGUGCAAAUGAAGGAUCUCUUCUCCGAGGUAACCUCUUACUAUUGCCUGAUAAUCAUUGCUUGCUUGUUUAUUUAAGCUUUGCCACCAACAUGGCGCCUUGUCAAUCAACGCAUUUGAAAACAAAAAUCCAAAGAAAAAGUCUAAAUUUAGACUAUUCCUUCUCAAAUUUCCAACCUUUAAAAUUGGUGUGUUCUAAACAAUAGUCCUACUUUAGGCUCCUAUAUUAUUUAGAAACUUUUCAGAGUAAUAAGCAAAAUUUCCUUUGUAAAAGUUCUAUUAGUCCAUUAAUCAUUAUUCCAAUGCAACAUGCUCGUAAGAAGGGUCAUAACAAUGGAUAAGAAUAAAGUUGGUUCUGAGCAUAGCUCGAAAGAACAAGUUAUCCAAAAAUAGUAAAGAAGGAUGACAAAGAAAUUGGUUGGGAAUGUAUAUCUUGGAAAAGAAUAAAAGGUAUUCCGAGAACGACAAAUAAUAUGAGAAUUGGGUGCCUUAGAUAUCGCAGCUUGAACUUUUCUGUACAAACUUUCUGAAGACCAUUUUGAGUUUAACAUGUGUUUAGGAGAUUUACAGUGCUUUGUCGACGCCCCAAGAUGUCGCUUAUCCCUUCAUGUUGAUUCAGGUAUAGCAAGAUCACCACAUGCCCCAAUUUGAUCAAAAUUUGAAUUGCUCUGAUCACCUCAUGCCCCAUUCUGAUCAAUAUUUGAGCAGCCCUUUUUGGGUUUUCAACUCAAAUCCCCUUUGGCCUAAGACGCCCUUUCCGGGUUUUCCCCUUAGCCUCUCCAUUUUUUAAUUUUCUUUUUCUUUUUUCAAUUUUCAUUCUCAUUUUUCAUUUUUUCAGAGUGCCCUUUGCGGGUCUUCACCUUGGUCCUUUCUUCUUCUUUAAAUGAAGUAUUUCUUGACUGGAUCCGAGUUUAUAGGACUAGCGAUCUCACUAAGGAUCAGUGCUCUUCUGAAAAAUGUCUUGUUUACAACGUAGGGACAUUCUCGAUUUGGCAUUCAUUUCCCUCUGGAAUCCUUUUGGAGAGGAAUGAUCUUUUUCGACAUCCAACCCUCUCGUGAAAUUCUUUGAGAUGACACUGUUCAUUACGGGCUCGUAUCAUUUGUUUCUGGUACAUCCGACCCUGAAGAAUAGCUUUUAACCUUUUUCUAGGUUCAACUGAUUGCAUCACGAUUGGAUCCAUUUUGCUUCAUCCAAUUCUAACUCAACUAAUACCCGGAGAGCAAAGAUUUCAAUAGGUAAAACUACCUAAACCCCGUAAACCAAAGAGAAAGGUAUUGCCCCGGUACAAAUGUUCGACAAGCAAUGAAGGUAAAUAGUAAUUUCUCAUGUCAAUCCUUGUAAGUCUCAGUCAUUUUCCUUCAAUUUUCGACGUUCAACUCUAGGCAAUUCAGUGACGAAUCGUGGUGUCCACUUUUGAGUUAAUUUGAGACCUCAGCGAUCGUGCCAUUGUUUAAGCUCAAUGCAUUCUCCAAUACCCUCUUCUCUGAAAUUUUGUAUCAGUAUACGAUGACUUUGGCUCAUGAAGUAGCUUCUCAAAAUAGAGCAAUGCCCAUUAGAAGUCUUCGAUAAUGGUGAAGUCCAUGCCUCAUUGUGCUCGAAAUUUGAGUCGCCCCUUUUCGGGUUGUCAACUCAAAACCUCAUUUGGUCACAAAGCGCCCUUUGCGAGUUUUCGCUUUGGCCUCUCCUUUUAUUUUUCUUUUUCUUUUUCAUUCUGAUUUUUUCAUCUAGAUUUCUCUUUUUUCAUUCUUCUUUCUUUUUUCAGUUUCAUUUUCAUUUUGAUCUUGAUUUUGAUUUUUUUCUUCUUUCUUCUUUUUUUUAUUUUGAUUUUUUAUUUUUUUUCUUUUCAUUUUCAUUUUGACUUUGAUUUUGAUUUUUCUUUUUCUUCACUUUUUUGAUCUGAGCCUUUAGGGGUGCAACUACGACAGAAAACUUUGGAUCUUCCUCUUUAAUCAGGAUGGACCCAACAACAACUUGAAGAGGUAAAAAUUCGACUUCAAAUGGACAAAGCUAUGCUGACUCCACGAGAAAGGCAUUGCUCCGGCAAAGAAUUACAUCGUUCAUACUGUAAAUUUCUAACAUUGUGCUAUUGUGCAGAUUUCAUUAUUGGCGUUUAACCCGGGGCAUAUCCUGGUAUGAUUAUACGAAGACAUCUUUGAACCCUGAGGUCACUUAAUAAGGUGUUGCUUCGUCUCUGCGGUCAGGUCAAUUCUAAACUUUACCACGCUCACAAUUUCUAAUGAUUCUUUGUGAGGUAGGAUCUGUCUGUCCUCUUAUUCAACCGUCCUUAACGAGUCAGGAGAUAAACUACAAUCUUUGUCAUUUUCAAAGCCCUGAGAUCCCUCUGAACACAUGCCUCGCUCAAAAGGAAAAUCUGGGUCUGUAGCAGAGUCAUUCACGUCAUUGAUUUCCAGAGACUCAUAAUAAGUACCAAAGAAUAUACAAAAGAAAGUAUAAAUUUAUGAAUAAUUAUUUAUACAAUAUGAUUGUGAAUGAAUGAUGUGGAAGAAAAUCUAAAAGAAUGAAAUAAUCAGAAAUAAUUAUUCAAAAAGAAUGAAAGAAUAUUUGCUCAAAAAGGAAUGCAAAGAUGUAUUUUAUUAGAAUGAGCCUAUUUCACAAAAGAGUUCUUAUUGCCUCUAGGCUAAAAGCAACAAGUGUGUUCUGGAUAUUACUCUGAGUAAGCUCUAAAUACUACAGGGGUCUCUUCUGCAGUCUAAUUAUUCAGAACACUCUCAAGUUUAGAAGGGCGAACGUCUAAUAAAAUCUCUUCUCCAGUUGUUUCUUCAGAUUUGACACUGAUGUGAACAUUUCCCAACAUUUCUUCAUUCAUCGCAUUCCCUUCAUUAUCCGUAUAAUUGAGCAGCGGGUUUUCUGUAUUGAUUGAAUCAUCAAAUUUGACAAUGCCCAUAUUGAUAAACCUUUCGACCAACUUUUUAAAGGCAGUGCAGUUCUCUAUUGAAUGCCCCGUAAUUCCCGCAUGGUAGUCGCAUUGUGCAUUCAUAUCGUACCAUUUGGGAUAAGGAGGUUGUAAAGGGGUCAAGUAACGAGGAGCAACAACAUGCACAUCGAACAAGCUUUGAUACAGCUCAUUAUAUGACAUCGGAAUUUGUGUGAACUGGAGCUUCUCAGUACCUGGUUUCAUUCCAGGUUCUUGCUUUAAAGGGCUCUGAUGGCUGGUGGUCUCUGUCUUUGGCCUACCCACGGUGAUUGGUUUUGAGUGGCCCUUGUUAUAUCCGCCUACAUUAUCCCUUUUAUUCCCCUUCUUCCUUGGGAACUUUGUAGUAUCUGGGUACUCUACCCUUAUCUGUUUUAUUUCAGCUAGAUUAGUAACAGGAUUAGCUAAAUCGUUCCUCAAAUUGGGUCCUAAACCUGUCAGGCAAUUCACUGGUGUCGAUGUACCAGUCUGAUAAUAUCGGGAUUCGAUAGUAAAAAGUGCUCUUUGUGGGCGCCCAUCUGGCUGGACCUGGACACUUGUUGGAGUACAAUCUGAGGAAUAGACAAGAUCCUCAUUAUCAACCCCAAAGUAAACCACCGGGUCUUUCACUUCUUUUGACUUUCCAGCUAGUAAUCGGUUGAACUGGUUUAUCAUAGUUCUCCGUAAUUCUAGCAUCUGAUCUUUCAUCUCCUGUUGAAAUUCAGUCAAUUGCCCCUGCAUCUGAAUCUGCAUUCGCUCUAAUUUUUCCAACCUUCGUUCCGUUUCUCUAGCCUUUGCUUGGAUAUCGUAAGAGUGUUUAGUUGGUUGGUUUUCCAGGUUAGCUGAAAUAAAUUUACUCGUUCAGAGUCUUUCAAUGGAUUUUAAUGUAUGUAAUGCAAUGUGAUGCAAAUGCAUGAAUGCCUAAAGAGACGUUGAUUCUGAUUCAAUUACAUUUAGGAAACUUUUCUAGAAAGCAAAUUCCCUUACAUACAAUGGAUACAUGUACGACCUCAUCUUCAUAUUCUAAGAAACAACAUCGGUCUUUUUCUUCAUCCGCAUGUUUGAAGUAAUCUUGCCAAUAGAUACCAUUGCUAGCUCCUUCUUUUGAUCUUGGUCACGAUCCAUCAUCUGCCCCUCUUCAUAAGGCUCGUCAGCUUCUUGGAACAUCGAAGGCUCUUAGACAAUCUCCUUGAAUCCUCAGGCCACGAAGCAGGAUCAUGAACUCUUCCAUCACCCUUUUUGCGUUCCUCAAAAUAUAUUCGAGAAGUCGUAUUAUUUUCCACUUUAUCAAGGAAUUCAUAUUCUAUGACAAGCUUUCUAAUUUAGUAAUCGAACUUGAAUCCAUAUCUCUUUCCUAAGAUGCAAAUGGAAUGCAAUGCAAUCAUAAUCAAAACACAACAAGAGGGGUUAGUGCAAAACAUAAGCAAGCACAGAAAGCAAAAAAUACCUAAUCAGGUAGAUACUAGGGGUUUGGAGUGGCUCUACCUAGGUUAAGUUCCUAAGUCUUCUAUAUGAGGGUUGGUUCUAAAGUCAAGGUACCCGAACCAGCAGAUUCCUCGAUCCUCACCCAUUAUAGGCUCAUACGGACCGAGUUCGGUUCAGGGGAAUAGAUUUCCCUAUGGCUGCACGGAGAUGAAAAUCUCACGAAGACAUAGGUACGGAUGUAUCCCGAAAGCGAUCUAUUAUCCUGCACGAAGGUGAAAACCUCACGAAGGACUAGUUUCUCACUCCCACUUAAAAGGGAAUAAUCGAGCGAUUAUGUAAUGCAAUAUGCAGAAAUAUAUCAAAAUUCAAACCAAUAGAGAAAAUACAAACUGAAGUAAGGAUAAUCGUAACAAAAACGGACAAACAUACAACAAAAUGAUCGUAGAUUUGAACCAAGCUUUCGGGUGACCUCUAGGCAUUCGGUGUGGUUCUACCUAGGGUAGGCUCUUAAGGCUCAUUAUAUGCGGCUCGGUUCUAAAGUAAGGGUACCCGAACCAACAGAUUCCUCGAUCCUCACCCAUUAUAGGCUCAUACGGACUGAGUUCGGUUCAGGGAAAUACAUUUCCCUAUGGCCAUGCGGAGAUGAAAAUCUCACGAAGACAUAGGUACGGAUGUAUCCCGAAAGCGAUUCACUAUCCCAUGCGGAGGUGAAAACCUCACGAAGGCGUAGUUUCUCACUCCCACUUAAAAGGGUGUGACCAACGGUCAUGCAAUGCAAUGUGCAGAAAUAUAUAUCUAACUCAAAAUAAGGCAGUAAUUAUAAAAAAUAAUAAGGGCCAAAAUAAAGACAAAUGAAAUGACAUAAAAGGAUCGUGUCAAGUUUUCAAUCUUCGACAAAAGACAAAAAUAAUCAACACAUGGCUUGACUCACUUAUUGAAGUCCCCAGCGGAGUCGCCAAGCUGUUGACACCAUUUUUUGGAUGAAAACGGGGUCGACUUGGGUUUUGAAAAUGAAAACGAAAAAAGGGAGUCGCCACCAAUCCUUUUUGAUAAGGUGUGAUCGGGUCACCUUGAAAAGUAGUUGUUUUUAAUAAAUGAUUUGAUUUUAUUAAAACAACGGUUUUGGUCCACGAAAUUCAGAAAAACAAGUUCGGGAGUCUGUUACGUACGAGGAAGGAUUAGCACCCUCGAUACGCCCAAAAUUGGUACCUAGUUGAUUAGUUAAUGUCUUAAUGUCGAAAAUUAAGAACUUGGAAAAAUUUAAAAUACGAUCCUUAUAUUAAAAAGAAAAUUUUUGGGAAAAGUAGCAUAUUUCACGUUAUUGGAGAAAGAGAAUAAUAUUCAGUAAGUUAGAAUACAAUAUCUCGUAUUCCCGAUACCCGAAUGAAAAAAUGCUUAUUUAAAAGAUAUUUAACUAUCUUGGAUUAAAAAGGAUCACGACCAGUAAAUUAGGACACGAUCCUUUAUAAAUCCCGAGAUCAUUUAAAACUUGAGUUUUGAAAAGAUUCAUGCAUUUAGAUUUAUCAAGAAAAUCGAAACCCAGUAAGUUAGGGCACGCUUUUCUCGAAUCCAAACACGAAAUGCCAUUUAAAAAUUUAUUAUAUCGAGUAAAAUAAAACACAAAAUCAUAGUGAAAGUAAAUUACAUUUUUAUGCAUGGCAAAACUAUAAUGAAUAUGAAAGUAUAAAAGCGAUACGCGCAAUAGCAAUCAAUAUAAACGGUUAAACUUACAAAAUAAUAAAAUAUAAAAAAACGAAUACAAUUUAAACAUUCAUUCAAAAUAAUAACGAAAAUGAAAUAAAUAAAUAAUCAAUACACUUAAAUAUAAAAAGAUAUACAUGGACAUAAACUAAAAUUUGUGUAUACAUAAAUUAGCAAAAUGUAUAAAGUAUAUUUUAAUAUAUAAAAGAAACAAUAAAUAUGUAUAUAUAAAAAAUAUGUACAUAUAUAUAGGUGUAUAAAACUAUGGAAUAUGAAAAUAAUGAAAUACAUAUAAAAGUAAGUACAUAUAUAUGUUGAAAAAUAAAAGAAAGUAUGUAUGUACAAAUUAAAGUUUAAAAAUAAUGAAAAUAUACAUAUGUAUACAAAUAAAUACGUUAAUUUAUAUACAUGUUAGAAAAUAUAUUGAAAAUGUAUAUAUAUAUUUAUGUAAAUUAAGAUAUGCAAAAAUAUGUAUGUACGUGCAUAUAAAAAUAUAUAUACUUAUAAAAAUAAAAGGAUAUGUAUGUAUAUAAAUUAAUAAUAAUAUGUAUGUAUAUACGGAUUUAUAAAAAAGGGUAUGUCCUAAACUAUAAAGAUUAUAUAUAAAUAUGUAUAUAUUUAGGAAAAUGAAAAUAUGCAUAUAGAUAUAUAGAUAUGUGCAUAAGUUGUAAAAUAUAUAAACUAUAUAAGUAUAUAUAUAUAUAUAUAUAUGUUAUAAACAAUGCAUGUAUAUCACAAAAAUAUAUGUAUGUACAUAUAUGUACCGAAAAUUUAAAUAAAAUAAAUACAAACAAAUAGGCAAUAAUAAUAAUAACAAUAAUAAUAAUAAUAAUAAUAAUAGGACUAAAUCAAAACGGAAACGAAAUCUCAGGGCUGAAAUCAAAAAUGAAAUAGAGUAAAGGAUUAAAAUGUGAGGCGCGCGAAAAGGGAAGGACUGAAAAGGGAAAUAUUCCCUAGUCCUAGAGUGCAACGUUUCAACGCGAAGGACCAUACAUGGUCAAAGGACCUGAUUGCAACGGAAUCAAAAUUUGCAGCCCAAAUCUAAAAGAAAUAAAGGGUCGUAUUGCAUCUCAACGCAAGAUGGAGGGAUUAAAUGCGUAAAUUACCCAUUAGGGCAAAGCAUGCGCAGAUCCCCCAUCAGACGGCGCCGUUUCAAUCAACAUAAAGCUAAGAAAUUUACUGCUUUCUGCAGUUUCAUUUUGCUGCAAAGAACACAAAUAAAAAAAAUAAAAAAAAGGGAGAAUCCCUUUUCUGCUGGGGUUCUAAGGCUAGAAGCCCCGCCGCCGUAGCGCCUCCCCACCGCCCGGUGGUCGGAGCCCUGCGAGGGCGUCUCCCACCAGCGCUUUGGAGCGCGUUCAGAGACCAAGGCUCCGAAACGGGGAAAUGGAAAGCCUCUGCCCCUUCCUAAACUCGCGUCCGACGACGGCGAAGGGCCAGCGGCGAUGACGGCUUCAGGGGCCGAUUCAGGUGAGUCUUUUCUUUUCUCUUUUUUGAUUUUUUUAAUUACUUUAAAAUAGAUUUGCGAAGAAAAAAAAUAAAACAAAAUAAGAUAAAAUAAAUAAAUAAAAAACAAGAAGAAAUAGUAAGGAUUCAACCUUUUAAAAUUUCUAUAUCGCUUUUGAUUUCUGAUGUGGGUUUUUACAAAGAAAAAUCCCCCAAAAUACAGUGAUGAAGCCCCCCCUUUUACAUUGUUUUUCAAGGCUUAUAAAGCCGAAAAUCAACCCAUUCUCUGCCCCUUUUGCUGCUUCUAUUCCCCUUUUUUAUGUUGCUUGCAGGUACUUGACGAAGGCAGAGGCGUGGCUUGCUGUUUUGGUGCUAGGCGGUGGCUAGGGUGUCAGGUAAGCCUCGGGACGAGGCACGGAUGGUACGCCCGAGGGAGUAGCGCACAUGGGCAGUAGGGCUACGGCGCGAAAGGGCAGGGAACCCUAGGGUUCCCUGUGCUGUUUAGUUUUUUGGGCCCCAAUGGGCCGUUUUAAAUUUUGGGCCUUGGGCUAUUGGGUAUUUGUUUUUGUAAUUGGGCCUCGGGUUAAUAUUUUUGGCACUAGGCCCGGGUAAAAUUGGGUCUGUACAA
rnacentral:lncRNA from 1 species